GGACUACCCGGGUUUCUAAUCCCGUUCGCUCCCCCAGCUUUCGCGUCUCAGCGUCAAGAAUGCCCCAGGAGACCGCCUUCGCCACUGGUGUUCCUACCGAUCUCUACGCAUUUCACCGCUACACCGGUAAUUCCAUCUCCCCCUAGCACCUUCAAGACUGCCAGUAUCCACCGACCCUCCGAGGUUGAGCCUCGGGCUUUCACAGCGGACUUGGCAACCCGCCUACACGCGCUUUACGCCCAGUAACUUCGGACAACGCUCGCCCCCUCCGUAUUACCGCGGCUGCUGGCAC
rnacentral:rRNA from 1 species